rnacentral:rRNA from 1 species
ACGGAGGAUCCAAGCGUUAUCCGGAUUUACUGGGUUUAAAGGGUGCGUAGGCGGAUUGAUAAGUCAGUGGUGAAAGCCUACAGCUUAACUGUAGAACUGCCAUUGAUACUGCCAGUCUGGAGUAUGGUUGAGGUAGGUGGAAUGUGUCAUGUAGCGGUGAAAUGCUUAGAUAUGAGGCAGAACACCAGCGGCGAAGGCAAGUUACCGUACUAUUACUGACGCUGAGGCACGAAAGCGUGGGGAUCAAACAG